rnacentral:rRNA from 1 species
CGUCGAACGCAGUAGCAAUACUGAGUGGCAAACGGGUGAGUAUAAUGUGGGAAUCUGCCUUUUGGUUUGGAAUAACACGGGGAAACUUGUGCUAAUACCGAAUAAGCCUUUACAGGGAAAGUUUUAAUGCCAAAAGAUGAGCCCGCACUUGAUUAGCUAGUUGGUAAGGUAAAAGCUUACCAAGGCAAUGAUCAAUAGCUGUUCUUAGAGGAAGACCAGCCACAUUGGGACUGAGACACGGCCCAGACUCCUACGGGAGGCAGCAGUGGGGAAUCUUGCACAAUGGGGGAAACCCUGAUGCAGCGAUGCCGCGUGAGUGAAGAAGGCCUUUGGGUUGUAAAACUCUUUCGUCGGGGAAGAAAAUGACUGUACCCGAAUAAGAAGGUCCGGCUAACUUCGUGCCAGCAGCCGCGGUAAUACGAAGGGACCUAGCGUAGUUCGGAAUUACUGGGCUUAAAGAGCUCGUAGGUGGUUAAAAAAGUUGAUGGUGAAAUCCCAAGGCUCAACCUUGGAACUGCCAUCAAAACUUUUUAGCUAGAGUGUGAUAGAGGUAAGUGGAAUUUCUAGUGUAGCGGUGAAAUUCGUCGAUUUAGAACGA